rnacentral:misc_RNA from 1 species
UCACUGCUUGCGCAGGCAGUCUCGCUAGAGUUCCCGGCAUUACCCGCUGGCAACUAGCGAUAGGGGUUGCGUUCGUUGCGGGACUUAACCCAACAUCUCACGACACGAACUGACGACAGCCAUGCAGCACCUCACCAAAGGCCCUUGCGGGAGACCCCCUUUCAGGGGCUGUCCUCUGGUGUUCGAGCCUGGGUAAGGUUCUUCGCGUUGCAUCGAAUUAAUCCACAUGCUCCACCGCUUGUGCGGGCCCCCGUCAAUUCCUUUGAGUUUCACCCUUGCGAGCGUACUCCCCAGGUGGAGUGCUUAACGCGUUAGCUUAGACACUGCACCCCAAUCGGUGCAGCAUCGAGCACUCAUCGUUUACAGCGUGGACUAC